rnacentral:lncRNA from 1 species
UCGUCAUCAUUCGAUGCUAUCUGUACUUGUGCAUUUACAUAUCCACUUGACAACCAGUGGCAUUUACUUUCUCUCUCCGCCGACCGUGCGCAAAGACACAUUGUCUUUGUCCCUGGUGAAUCUUAUUUUGGGUACAUCGCUGACGCUUUCUUGAGGGCUGAACUUUGCCCACACCCUCCUCAUACACUUCCAGCGCUCGUUAACGCAUGGUUGUCUCACAGCUCCCCGCGGAGGCGUGCCCACACCGCUCAAAUACAGCGCCGCAGACGCGCGUCUGACUCAUUGGGUUUGUCAGAGCGCACAGUGAGGUAAGCAGAGCCGCGCUUCCCACGCCGAGGAGAACAUGCGAUCGUCUCGAACCAUACCCACUCCCGACAUUGAGACGCAGCGCGUUCGUCUCAGUGUAUAGUGAAGCGCCUUUGCCGAUUUAGGAGAGAAAAGUUUUAGGAGGUGACAAAAGCUACGACGGUUUGCACGUCUACUUUCCAUUCAGCUGUUUGUGGAGGACGCAUGAUUUACCUGUGCCGGACCAAAAGCGGAGAUUGCAUGAAAGAUCUCAAGGCUAUACUGAGUUGCACCACACUGGGAGGCUUACUGGAUAAGCAGGAGAAGUAUCCCUGUGACUCCCAAAAAGUGUCUCCGCUUCUAUCUUCUCCCACGAUGGCCCUGGCCUCCUUCCAUCUGAUGCAAACUCUAAAGAACUCUCCGGCGGCUCUACGUCGGCGAUUCCGUCGCGACCGAACAGAGAGCCUGUCUCACGGCGAUCCCCUAGAAGCCGACUCAUUCUUUUGCUCCAGGCCAACAGGUGUUGAUAAAGUGCCUGAAACCUCCAAAGCUCGGAGAGCCAAAGUAUCUUGGACCUGCGACUGUCAUCGCUGUGACGCGGACAGGGGUGCUGACUGAUUUCCAGCCACAGUGGAUCCAUGCAAGCAGGCUAAAGGCGGCUCCGGAGACAGGAGGGGAUCUGUGAUCGUAUCUGGAGCUGGAUCGAGUUCGAGGAGCUGAGAGAGGAGUCGAGGUGCGGAAGGGGCGGAAGGAGAAGCAAGAGUUUACAAUCAUCA